GUCAUAUGCUUGUCUCAAAGAUUAAGCCAUGCAUGUCUCAGUACAAGCCAAAUUAAGGUGAAACCGCGAAAGGCUCAUUAAAUCAGUUAUGGUUCCUUAGAUCGUACCCACAAUUACUUGGAUAACUGUGGUAAUUCUAGAGCUAAUACAUGCAAACAGAGCUCCGACCGGAGACGGAAGGAGUGCUUUUAUUAGAUCAAAACCAAUCGGUGGCGGGUUCGCUCGUUAUCGUACAACUUGGUGACUCUGAAUAACUUUACGCUGAUCGCACGGUCAUCGCACCGGCGACGCAUCUUUCAAAUGUCUGCCUUAUCAACUGUCGAUGGUAGGUUCUGCGCCUACCAUGGUUGUAACGGGUAACGGGGAAUCAGGGUUCGAUUCCGGAGAGGGAGCCUGAGAAACGGCUACCACAUCCAAGGAAGGCAGCAGGCG
rnacentral:rRNA from 1 species